GACAGAGGGGGCAAGCGUUGUCCGGAAUUACUGGGCGUAAAGAGCUCGUAGGUGGUUUGUCGCGUUGUCCGUGAAAACUCACAACUCAAUUGUGGGCGUGCGGGCGAUACGGGCAGACUGGAGUACUGCAGGGGAGACUGGAAUUCCUGGUGUAGCGGUGGAAUGCGCAGAUAUUAGGAGGAACACCGGUGGCGAAGGCGGGUCUCUGGGCAGUAACUGACGCUGAGGAGCGAAAGCGUGGGGAGCGAACAGG
rnacentral:rRNA from 1 species